GGGGAGCGGCAGACGGGUGAGUAACGCGUGGGAACGUACCUUUUGCUACGGAAUAACUCAGGGAAACUUGUGCUAAUACCGUAUGUGCCCUUCGGGGGAAAGAUUUAUCGGCAAAGGAUCGGCCCGCGUUGGAUUAGCUAGUUGGUGAGGUAAAGGCUCACCAAGGCGACGAUCCAUAGCUGGUCUGAGAGGAUGAUCAGCCACACUGGGACUGAGACACGGCCCAGACUCCUACGGGAGGCAGCAGUGGGGAAUAUUGGACAAUGGGCGCAAGCCUGAUCCAGCCAUGCCGCGUGAGUGAUGAAGGCCCUAGGGUUGUAAAGCUCUUUCACCGGUGAAGAUAAUGACGGUAACCGGAGAAGAAGCCCCGGCUAACUUCGUGCCAGCAGCCGCGGUAAUACGAAGGGGGCUAGCGUUGUUCGGAUUUACUGGGCGUAAAGCGCACGUAGGCGGACUUUUAAGUCAGGGGUGAAAUCCCGGGGCUCAACCCCGGAACUGCCUUUGAUACUGGAAGUCUUGAGUAUGGUAGAGGUGAGUGGAAUUCCGAGUGUAGAGGUGAAAUUCGUAGAUAUUCGGAGGA
rnacentral:rRNA from 1 species